UAGAAACAAGAAGUGCCGGGGUGAGAGCUGGAGGAGGGGAGGAGGGCACAAGGGCUGUACUGACACGUCCCAUGACUGCUCACAGCAGACAAUCCUUUCACCUGCCAGGAGCUGUCAUUAGACAAGGAGACAGUGGAUUUUUUUUUUUUUUGACCCUGAAAAUGAACUUUGGGAGGAUUUUCCUAGUCAAGUGCUUGCUGCUUUUAUUUUCCAGUGUAAAAUGCUCUGUCGUCAACCGGCUUUACAAGGCAGUGAAUGAGACGGUUCUUCUCAGCAUCUCUGCUCCUGGGAGCAUAUACCAUGCCAUAUGGAAGAGAGAUGGACAGAGGCUGGUUCAGCUCAAAGAUAAUGAUGUUAAGUACUUUGUGAACAAGGACCAGUGCAGGUGUAAGAUACUCCAAAAUGGGACUCUGCAAAUACGUCAGGUGGUGAAAGGGGACAGUGGAAAUUACACAGUGACUGUUUAUGAGCGGGAUGGAAAAUGGAAGGCAGAAGAAAAGACAAGCUUCUUUGUUCAGGAGCCUGUCCCUCAGCCAAUCCUCAGCACUGAAUGCAUGAAUAAAACUGUAUCUGUCAAGUGUGAAGUGGACCACAAGGCUAAAGGUGAAGAAUUUACUAUAGAACUGACUCAACCUAAUGGCAGAAAAAUCCAAAAGAAUGCAGCCAUGUUGGAAUUGCAGACACGGCAUUCUGGGACAUUCAGAUGUGCUGUUAA
rnacentral:lncRNA from 1 species